rnacentral:rRNA from 1 species
AUGCCCUGGUUGAUUCCGUGUGCUCCAGGGACUGCGUACGCGAGCAAAGGACCCCAGGGAAACCCCGCACCCCCUGUCCCGAUCUUCCCCGUUGCCACACGCCCUGGUUGGGGCGAUUGGAUCUCGUCCCGGAGCUCUGCCGUCCGCCGCCGCUCGCCGGAGGUUUUCGCCACCAGACCUAGCGGGGAGAGAGGAACAAGCUCGACCAACGUUCGCCGGAGCACACCCGCCGUUCUUGUCGCCGUUGCUGCCCGCAAAGGACGCCCCGUCGCCGUCCGACCUCACCACCGCCUCCGCCUCCGCCGCUCGACGCCGCACCCACCCAUCACUUCCCCUUCACCGGAGACUCGCCGGAGAGCCGCCACCGCCGACGCCCGAGACCGUCGCCGCCGUCCUCUGCUUUUGGUGAGCACGCACGCACAGGAGGUCCUCCAACCAAUCACGUGCUGCCAGGUGGCAACCAACUACAGUACACGCACGAACAGUGCAGGAGUUUUCUGUUGUUUUUGUUUUUCUUUCCAGAUUUGUUCUCUAACUUCUUUUAGCUAUAUCUUUUAG